UGACUUAUAGGCCGUUAUUAACAAGAGCAACAUAAGGAACAAAACUAAUUCGGUCUUGAGAAAUUAACAUAGUUAUUCAAACCACAAUUUUGUUUUAGAAAAGACUUCAUCUGGUCCUUACAAUAUGUACCGUAAAUUUCCUUUUAAGGAUAUGUCUGUUGCUGUGUUCAAAAGAACACCAUCUCCAAAAGUCUAUAAACUUAUUGAAAGUUUGACAAUUACUUCUAUGAUGUAAAUUCAGCACAGAAAUAAAAAAAAAAUUUGGUUUUUAAUAUCAGUUAGAUGAAACGUUAUUAGUAUAGACGUCUAAUAUAUAUAAAUCUAGUUCUACUAACAAUUUCGUUAAAAACAUAUUUUUUACAAAGAUGAAAGGCAUACCUUUUAUAAAACUCAAAAAACUUUAUUAUAUUUGGCGAUAUUGCCUAGAUACGAAGUAAUAAAAAUUAUGGUACACCAACAGUUACAAUUUUCAUUUGUUUAUCAAGAUUAUAAUGUAUUCAAAAUACACUACUUUGGUUUUCAAUUAGUUAAAAAAUAUCAAAUUUCAACAAAAACGUCAAUAAAAUAAUG